GUCAUUUGUGCUGGAACAUA
rnacentral:piRNA from 1 species